rnacentral:rRNA from 1 species
CACCGGCGGCUCGAGUGGUAACCGUUAUUAUUGGGUCUAAAGGGUCUGUAGCCGGCUGGAUAAGUCUCUUGAGAAAUCUGGCAGCUUAACUGUCAGGCUUUCAGGAGAUACUGUCUGGCUCGAGGCCGGGAGAGGUGAGAGGUACUUCAGGGGUAGGGGUGAAAUCUUGUAAUCCUUGAAGGACCACCAGUGGCGAAGGCGUCUCACCAGAACGGACCUGACGGCAAGGGACGAAAGCUAGGGGCACGAACCGGAUUAGAUACCCUGGUAGUCCCUGAG